rnacentral:lncRNA from 1 species
CUGCAUCAGGAAACAAAGAACAUGCCAACCCAGAUGCUCCCAAUUUCUGGCAGGUCGCCCUUUGGGUCCCACCCAGGUUUUCUUCAGUCGUCCCCAGAAGUCUGCACAGCACUCACGAAGUGAAGUAAACAGUGUACAAAGUCUCCGUGUAGCAGCAGCCCUUCUGGGUUUUGUCUCCAAGAGGAACAGGAUGUAUCUACGGUCCAUCACGUCUCUGUGCCCUACUGCUUCCCGGUGGCCAUCGAUGCAGCUUCUCAGGAGAAUCCUGCGGGGCAGAUCCUUUUCCUUCUUUACAUUAUACCCGAAUGAGCUGCAGCAAAUGGCUUUGAAAGAUGAGGCAAGUGGAAGGCAGGCACAGCGCUUUCCGUCAGAAGUUCCAGGGGAUCCAUCACAAAGGGAGAACUGAGUUUCAUGGAAUAAAUAUCAGACUCCAGGUUGGAAAACUUGGAACUAGUCCUCACGGAGCUCACCAUGUGUCUUGUUACUUUUCUCUUGAUGUUGAGACAAAGUGAAGUGAGGGAAGGUUUAUUUCUUACAGUUUUGGGGUUUUAGUCCAUAUUCAGCUGCCUCCAAUCACCAAGGUGGCCUGGCAGGGAAGCCAUUCAUAGCCACCUUCGCAGCAAGAGCAAACCCAGCAAGAGAGUGAGACAUACCUUCCUCCUGCCCUCCUUCCUCAUGCUGGCUCCACCUC